UACGUAGGGUGGCAAGCGUUGUCCGGAAUUAUUGGGCGUAAAGAGCUCGUAGGCGGUUUGUCGCGUCUGCUGUGAAACCCGAGGCUCAACCUCGGGCCUGCAGUGGGUACGGGCAGACUAGAGUGCGGUAGGGGAGAUUGGAAUUCCUGGUGUAGCGGUGGAAUGCGCAGAUAUCAGGAGGAACACCAAUGGCGAAGGCAGAUCUCUGGGCCGUAACUGACGCUGAGGAGCGAAAGCAUGGGGAGCGAACAGG
rnacentral:rRNA from 1 species